UACGUAGGGUGCAAGCGUUGUCCGGAAUUAUUGGGCGUAAAGAGCUCGUAGGCGGUCUGUCGCGUCGGAUGUGAAAACCCAGGGCUCAACCCUGGGCCUGCAUUCGAUACGGGCAGACUAGAGUUCGGUAGGGGAGACUGGAAUUCCUGGUGUAGCGGUGAAAUGCGCAGAUAUCAGGAGGAACACCGGUGGCGAAGGCGGGUCUCUGGGCCGAAACUGACGCUGAGGCACGAAGGCCAGGGGAGCAAACGGG
rnacentral:rRNA from 1 species